rnacentral:rRNA from 1 species
GGGGAAUUUUCCGCAAUGGGCGAAAGCCUGACGGAGCAAUGCCGCGUGGAGGAUGACAGCCUGUGGGUCGUAAACUCCUUUUCUCAGAGAAGAAGAUCUGACGGUAUCUGAGGAAUAAGCAUCGGCUAACUCCGUGCCAGCAGCCGCGGUAAGACGGAGGAUGCAAGCGUUAUCCGGAAUGAUUGGGCGUAAAGCGUCUGUAGGUGGUUUAUUAAGUCUACUGUUAAAUAUCAGGGCUUAACCCUGAAUCGGCAGUAGAAACUCAUAAGCUUGAGUACGGUAGGGGCAGAGGGAAUUCCCGGUGUAGCGGUGAAAUGCGUAGAGAUCGGGAAGAACACCGAUGGCGAAAGCACUCUGCUGGGCCGAAACUGACACUGAGAGACGAAAGCUAGGGGAGCAAAAGGGAUUAGAUACCCCUGUAGUC